rnacentral:rRNA from 1 species
UACGGGGGGGCAAGCGUUGUUCGGAAUUACUGGGCGUAAAGGGCGCGUCGGCGGCCUGCUACGUCGGACGUGAAAUCCCUCGGCUCAACCGGGGAACUGCGUCCGAUACUGGCGAGGCUUGAAUCCGGGAGAGGGAUGUGGAAUUCCAGGUGUAGCGGUGAAAUGCGUAGAUAUCAGGAGGAACACCAAUUGCGAAGGCAGCUCGCUGGGACGUUACUGACGCUGAGACGCGAAAGCGUGGGGAGCAAACAGG